UACGUAGGCAGCAAACGUUGUUCGGAAUUACUGGGCGUAAAGAGUGUGUAGGCGGUUCUGUAAGUUCUGUGUGAAAUCUCCCGGCUUAACUGGGAGGGUGCGCCGAAAACUGCAGGGCUUGAGUACUGGAGAGGAUAGCGGAAUUCCUGGAGUAGCGGUGAAAUGCGUAGAUAUCAGGAGGAACACCGGCGGUGUAGACGGCUGUCUGGACAGUAACUGACGCUGAGACACGAAAGCGUGGGGAGCAAACAGG
rnacentral:rRNA from 1 species